ACGCAUUAAGCAUUUCCGCCUGGGGAGUACGACCGCAAGGUUGAAACUCAAAAAAAAAAAAACGGGGGCCCCGCACAAGCGGUGGAGCAUGUGGUUUAAUUCGAAGCAACGCGAAGAACCUUACCAGGUCUUGACAUCUUUUGAUCACAAAAGAGAUCAGGUUUCCCCUUCGGGGGCAAAAUGACAGGUGGUGCAUGGUUGUCGUCAGCUCGUGUCGUGAGAUGUUGGGUUAAGUCCCGCAACGAGCGCAACCCUUAUGACUAGUUGCCAGCAUUUAGUUGGGCACUCUAGUAAGACUGCCGGGGAAAAACCGGAGGAAGGUGGGGAUGACGUCAAAUCAUCAUGCCCCUUAUGACCUGGGCUACACACGUGCUACAAUGGAUGGUACAACGAGUUGCGAGACCGCGAGGUCAAGCUAAUCUCUUAAAGCCAUUCUCAGUUCGGACUGUAGGCUGCAACUCGCCUACACGAAGUCGGAAUCGCUAGAUCGCGA
rnacentral:rRNA from 1 species